UCUCUCUCUCUCUCUCUCUCUCCUGAAGUCCGUUCUGUUCCUCUGACCCGUCUGACCCCUCACCCUUGUUCACAGACCCUGCAACCUCUCUUUUUUCUUUCUCCUCACUAUUAUUUUCUUCUCUCAUAAUUUAUCACACUCAACAAUGCGACACAUGCCUUCUUCCCAAAUUAAUCUCAACAAUUGCUGCCCACGAGCUCGAAUCACCCGGAUGCAGCUUUUGUUUUUCACCUAAUUUCAUGUCCUUCUUCUUCUGCGACUGCCUUUGAUCUUCCAGCUUCAACUCACACCACGCUUCUUCCUUCUCCACUUCCUGAAUUAGUUCGUCUUCAAGAUGAGCCGACCAACUACGCGUAGUAAGAACAAAAGGCAUAAACAAGAGGACAAUAUCGAUAACAGUUCUGACAUAUUGAGGAAAAUUCACUCAUCUGGGGAAAUAACCAAAGAUGACAUCAAUCAGCUCUAUAUGAUCUGGAAGCCAGUUUGUCAAGGAUGCCGGCUGAAUACUAAGGAUAGCCCAAAUUGUUUCUGUGGACUGAUUCCACCUCCUACUGGUAGCAGAAAGUUUGGUUUAUGGCAAAAGAUGUCAGAAAUUGUGCAAGCUCUUGGUUCAGAUCCAUCCAAGGAUCUCCGUACUUCUCCAAACUUUCCUGCUGGUCUGACAAAUCUUGGUGCAACAUGCUAUGCCAAUAGCAUACUUCAGUGUCUAUACAUGAACAAGUGCUUCAGAGAAGGCAUAUUUUCUAUUGAGUCUGAUGUUUUGAAACAAAAUCCAGUUCUAGACCAGCUUGUACGGCUCUUUGCUCUCCUGCAUGCCAGUAAAAUGGCUUUUGUGGAUUCAUUCCCUUUCAUAAAAACACUGGAGUUAGAUAAUGGAGUCCAGCAGGAUAGUCACGAGUUUCUUACAUUGCUUCUUUCUCUUCUUGAGCAUUGCUUGAGUCAUUCAAAAGCUAAAGCAAGGACGAUCGUUCAAGAUCUUUUCCGUGGAAGUGUGUCUCAUGUAACUACGUGCUCACAGUGCGGAAAAGAUUCUGAAGCCUCUUCCAAAAUGGAGGACUUCUAUGAGUUGGAGUUGAAUGUUCUUGGCUUGAAAAGUUUAGAUGAGAGUUUAGAUGAUUAUCUUAGUGUGGAAGAGCUUCAUGGGGAUAAUCAAUAUUUUUGUGAGUCAUGUAAAUCCAGAGUGAAUGCCACUCGCAGUAUAAAGCUACGUACAUUGCCUCCUGUUCUAAAUUUUCAGCUGAAGCGAUGUGUUUUUCUUCCAAAGACUACAACAAAGAAGAAAAUCACAUCUGCCCUCUCUUUUCCUGGAGUUUUGGAUAUGCGGGAUAGGCUAGCUGAGUCUUCUCAGUCUGAAUCAAUAUAUGACCUGUCAGCGGUUUUGAUUCACAAAGGAACCGCUGUCAACAGUGGCCAUUACAUAGCUCACAUUAAGGAUGAAAAUACAGGGCAGUGGUGGGAGUUUGAUGAUGAACAUGUCUCAAAAUUAGGUCAUCAUCCAUUUGGAGAAAAACAAUCAAAUGCUAAUUCUAAACCUGUUAGAACUGAAUCAGCUGUCCAGUUGGUUUCCAAGGAAGAAGUAAAUGUUACUGCUGAAGGGAAUCCAACGAAUGGGGUUCUUCAGCAAUCAACAGAAUCUGGUAUUGGUUGUCCCACUGACACAUUUUCAUCUAAUGACGCCUACAUGCUGAUGUAUAAUUUAAGGUGCACGGGGAAGGAGAACUCAAAUAGAGUUACUAGCUGCGAUGUUAAAAGUAAAGAAGUAGAAGGUAACAUGGUUCCUUUCCGGGAUGGCCUGUCUAUUCCAUCACAUCUGUGUGAUGAGAUAAGUAGUUUAAAUGAAUCGUAUGUCAUAGCUUGCGAAGAAUAUGAUUCAAAGAAGGAAGUUGAAUUGGGUAGUAUCAAUGAUCGGAGACAAGAGGUCCGAUCAAUUUUGUCUGAGGCCCCUGUUCACUCAGUUGAGGAACCCUUUUGUUGGAUUUCCACAGACUGGCUCCGCCAGUGGGCUGAUAAGGUCUCCCCACCCAUUCUUGACAGUUCACCUAUACAGUGUUCGCAUGGAAAAGUUCCAAUAUCAAAAGUAACCUGCGUAAAAAGAUUGUCAACCAAGGCUUGGGACAAGUUAUUCUCCAAGUAUGGUGGGGGCCCCAAAUUGACCAAUGAAGAUAUCUGUAUGGUUUGCCUUGUUGCUGGUGCUCGAAAUGUAGUUUGUGCUGACAGCUACAAGGAUCGCAGAAUGUCUAUGAAAGAAAUUGCGUUAAGUGCACUUUCAGGCAAUUAUCCAGAUGGAACAUAUUUUGUUUCUAGGACAUGGUUGCAACAGUGGGUCAAAAGAAAAAUUCUUGACGCUCCUUCUGAAGCUGAUGCAGAACCAACCGCCUCAAUAAGGUGUCCUCAUGGACAACUUUUGCCAGAGCAAGCUGCUGGAGCUAAGCGAGUGCUGGUUCCAGAAGAUCUCUGGCUUUUCUUACAUGAAGAUGCUAUUGCUGUAAAACCUGAUGAUCCUACUGGGGUUGCAACUUUUCUCUCGGAUGCUAGACAAUGUUCUCUGUGCAGUGAGGAAUUAUCUGAAGUGGCAGUCAUGGAAGAUUCCAUAAGAGAAGUGAAGCUUAAGCAGCGACAGAAUCACGAAAGAUUAGCCGUUGGAAAAUUUGUUCCACUUUCUCUGCAUUGCAAGUAUUAUUUAGUGCCUACAUCAUGGCUUUCAAAGUGGAGAAACUACAUAAAUGCAAGUGGAAAAAGUGCUUCACUUGCUGAGAAGCCUGACAAUUUAGAUGGCGUGAUUAAUUUUCUGAGGUGUGAAAAGCAUUCGCGCCUCCUUGAAAGACCUCCUGACCUGGUGUGCAAACGUGGUACGGUACAGCAGAAAUCCUCUGCAGAUGUUUUAACAAUCAUUUCAGAGAAUGACUGGAAAUGCUUCUGCGAAGAGUGGGAAGGUAGCGAGGCACGUGGCAUCUCUGCUGUGAUUGAGUCAAGUAGUUUUGCAGAGGCAGGGAAUGAUAUGGACGGGUCCUCCAAAGAGAAUGCAAUGCUGGAAGAGCAUCUCAGUUCUCAUGAUGAAGUUAGCAAUGGGGACUUCAAGCAACUUCUACUAAAGACUGAUCCUGAGGUAUGUGAAGAGUGUAUAGGAGAACGAGAAAGCUGUGAGCUGAUGCAGAAACUUAAUUAUACUGGCGAGGAUAUUUGUGUAUAUUUUGCCCGUGGGAAGGAGGCUCCAAAAUCAAUUUUGGAAGCUCCUGAGUCCACUUUUGAUCCAGAUCGCCGAAUCUCAAAGCGUGCCAGGAAGACAAAUUCAGGGAAUUUUGUUAAUCUAAAAGUUUCUGGUUCGACUUCAGUGUACCAAUUAAAGAUGAUGAUAUGGGAAUGUUUUGGGGUUGUGAAGGAAAACCAGAUACUUCGCAAAGGUAAUAGAAUAAUUGAUGGAGAAACUGAUACUUUGGCAGACAAGAAUAUAUUUCCUGGGGACAAGCUAUGGGUAAUGGACUCUGAGAUUCAUGAGCAUCGAGAUAUUGCUGAUGAGCUUUCUGAUCACAAAAUGAACAUGCAACAUACUGAGGAAGGGUUUCGUGGAACGCUUUUGGCUGCUAAUGUUUCAUCUGAAGUUGUUUAAGAAGCACAGAAAUACGAAGGCACCUGCUGCCUGUAAUUUCAAAAUUUUGUAGAUGUUGAUAAUGAGGAAAAAGAACUGUUACAUUGUGAUCAGCAUUUUGAUAUAAAGAAGCCAGAAAAUGGACCGUGGGAUAAAUUGUUUUCGGGUUUGCUGGACGAUGCUUCGGACGACGAAUGGAAAAACGAUGCUGCAGGUUUUUUGUGAUUAUAUGUUUUGAUUCAGCCCCCAACCACAGUACAAGUUAGUUUUACCCUCAUCACAUACAUUGGCUGUAUAUCAUGUUAAAAUGUCAAGGAAACUUGAAUUUGCUGAUUUUUCCUUUACAUGAUGUAUAGAAUGUUGUAGUGAUAAUUAUGCAUAUUACAGCGUACAAGCCUCUCUUUCUUCUACUAGAUUUCAGGAGAAUAAGAUAAGGACGAUUGCUCUGUAAUUAUUCCCGACCCGACAUACCGAGAUUUUCUUUCAGGUUUUUCUGCAGCAUUCAAUUUGAGAGAUUGAAAUUUUAUGUAUGGACGUGACAGGUGAGUUUUAUGA